rnacentral:rRNA from 1 species
UACGGAGGAUCCAAGCGUUAUCCGGAUUUAUUGGGUUUAAAGGGUGCGUAGGCGGCUUAUUAAGUCCGGGGUGAAAGACGGUGGCUCAACCAUCGCAGUGCCUUUGAUACUGAUGAGCUUGAAUACACUUGAGGUAGGCGGAAUGUGACAAGUAGCGGUGAAAUGCAUAGAUAUGUCACAGAACACCAAUUGCGAAGGCAGCUUACUAAGGUGUUAUUGACGCUGAGGCACGAAAGCGUGGGGAUCAAACAGG